UAAAUAAAUAGUAACUACCAAAAAAUAUGGGCUUAAAGUGAGGAAAAGCCCAAAUCUGGGCGCACUGCAUAACAGUAAAGGGGGGGGGGGUCCGGUUAGCCAGAGAACCUUAGGCCCAAAACUAAAAGGGGAGCUCGGUCAACCCUGUUGACCCCAUGUAUCGCCAUCGUCCGUCAGAUCCGUGGAUCUGACCUGGUCAAACAAAUCAACGAACGGAUGAGGAGGGCACACGGUAAUGGAUGGUGGUACAACUGCAUAAGAGUGCCUGGUUGACCGUUGGUCAACGCCGACGAGGCUCACCACCGGAGUGACACUUGUCACUCAUGCAUCGAGCUAAAUAGGGGUAUUUAACCUGAGCAUUUGAGAAAAUGAGUUCAUUUGAUGAACUCUUUUCUCUCUCCUCAUCUCAGAACUUAAAACACUCUGCAAACAAGCCCACCCUCCUCCGAUCAACCUGCCGGAGAAGACGGUGGUUGCCGGCCAACGACGGUGGCACCACCUUAUUCUCCGGCAAACCACCACUCAAAAACCGGAACGUCAAAUACUAACCCUACCUUGUUUUGGACGGAGAAUCCAAAUCCGACCUUAACUUUUCCUAAAUCCUCCUCAAACGACUGGAUCGACCCUCCCAACCAGACAAAAAUUCAAAACUCCGACGAAAUAAACUUUCAACGCAACCUAACAAACCCUCGAUUCCUUCUAACAGACAACUCAAAACAAAAUCAAUAGCAAGAAAUAAUUCAAACCCCAAACCCUAAUUUCAAAAUUAAAACCUCCCUAGUUGUAAUUUACAAAAAUCGUUAAAGGGGUUUUACUCAGUUCAGAACGACGAAUAUAACGACUUAAAGGUUUCAAGUAAAAGAGGGAGAAAAAGGCUACUUGGUCAGAGCGGAUCCGACGGUGAGAUAUCCUUCGACGCGGUUCAGAUAAGUCCUUUCUCCGAACUUUCUCCUUCUUCUUCUUCUCUGCUCUUCUCUGUUUGCUAUUAGUUUCUGUGUUGGUCUGAGCUCAUCGACGUUAGAAUUUCAGCGUGAAACUCUAAUGUAGAUUUAAAAAAAUCGUGAGCUUUUCUGAAAGGUGUUCUUGGAAAUUUUUGCAGAAUAACGGUCCCCCCUCUUCAAUGAUUGAACUCCCUCUCUUAUAGAUGGGUGCAUGUGGUUCUUUCGAUUGGGAGCUGGCAGGGAUUAUAGGAUCAUUCCGUUAGAUUUUCAUCUCCCUACGAUUUGGUAUCUUGCCAAUCUGUUAGGUUUGAAUUGGUUUAUUUUUGUCUAUAGUGAGGUCUUCGUAUCUGUCAAGCUUGGGUGGUCCCCAUUAGCAUUAACAAACAAUUUUCAACUUUUUAAUAUCUCUUUAUUGUUUCAAACGGGUUUUGAUAUAAGCUGGUUAUGCACAAGUCGUCUUGGUGCGAGCGCGAGGAGGAUGACGAUAAAGUGACUUGCACACUUAGCAUGAAUUUAAUUCAAUGUAAGCUAUGGUUCUGGUUCGACACUCUCUCUCUAGUUGGAUGGAUUCAAGUUACACGACAUUUUCUUUUGGUCAAAACUUGGUUUUGCAAUUUGUAAUUAAAUAUCAUACCUAUUCCUAAUCAUGAUUUUGGAACAGAAACAUGUAUAAUUUCCCAUUCAUAUGUAUGGCUCUAAAUUUGUGAAAAGAAAGAACUUGAAUUGCAUUCGGUGCACAUAAACAACUCUUUGGAUCACUUAAGCAACUUACAAACACGUUUCAAAAAUGUAAUAUUAAUUUCAGAACUCUUUAACCAAUGGUAA